rnacentral:rRNA from 1 species
GUGAGGAAUAUUGCGCAAUGGAGGCAACUCUGACGCAGCCAUGCCGCGUGCAGGAAGAAGGCGCUACGCGUUAUAAACUGCUUUUAACCGGGAAGAAACCCCAGGACGUGUCCUGGGUUGACGGUACCGGAGGAAUAAGCACCGGCUAACUUCGUGCCAGCAGCCGCGGUAAUACGAAGGGUGCAAGCGUUAUCCGGAUUCAUUGGGUUUAAAGGGUGCGUAGGCGGAGCGUUAAGUCAGUGGUGAAAUCCUGCAGCUUAACUGUAGACUUGCCAUUGAUACUGGCGCUCUUGAGUGCGCUUGAAGUGGGCGGAAUGUGCCGUGUAGCGGUGAAAUGCUUAGAUAUGGCACAGAACACCAAUUGCGAAGGCAGCUCACUAAGGCGAUACUGACGCUGAGGCACGAAAGCGUGGGGAUCGAACAGGAUUAGAAACCCUUGUAGUCC